GACGAACGCUGGCGGCGUGCCUAACACAUGCAAGUCGAACGGACAGGCCCUGCUUUUGCGGGGUGCACGAGUGGCGAACGGGUGAGUAACACGUGAGUACCCUGCCCUUGACUUUGGGAUAACUUCAGGAAACUGGGGCUAAUACUGGCUAGGAGCUCCUGCUGCUUGUUGUGGGUUGGUAAGUUUCGGCGGUUGGGGAUGGACUCGCGGCUUAUCAGCUUGUUGGUGGGGUAGUGGCUUACCAAGGCUUCGACGGGUAGCCGGCCUGAGAGGGUGACAGGGCACAUAGGGACAGGGAUGGGGCCCAGACGGCUACGGGAGGCAGCAGUGGAAAUAAUUGCGAAGAGGGCGGAAGCAUGGGACAACAUCGCCGCGUGCGGGAUGACGGCCUUAAGGUAGGAAACCGCUUUAGCGUGUAAAGAAGAGUGAGUGACGGUAAUGGAUAAAGAAGCAACGGCUAACUACGUG
rnacentral:rRNA from 1 species